AUGUUUGCAGGUUGUGGUGUAGGCGUUUGGACUGUAGUAGGACUAAAGCCGCGUGUAUGUUGUUGUGUAGUGUGUGGCUUACUGCAUGAUGGCUGCUACUGCUGCCUGGGAGGGAACUGGCCGCCCUCCCGCGGAUGAGCUCCAGACUCCCCCUGGUCGCUCAGCUCAACCUCCCCAGGGAGCUUCUGCUGGCACCACUCCCACGUUGUUGCAUGAUUCUGCACAAAGCACUGCCAAGGAUUCACCCGCUACCGGCAAAAAGGACGCUCGUUCCACUGUGAGAGUAACCGUGAAUUUACCCGUCUCUACACCCACAGGCACCAAGCUGGCUGUGACCACAAGAUCUGAGUCACCUGCGGGGGGUGAAGGUCUCAAGGUGGAGCCUAAGAAUCUGGACCAAGAGAAAGAGAUUGCCCUCAGUCAGCUGCAGGAGUUGGAGGAGGCAAUUAAAGUACGCAAGGUAACCAAGGUGGACGGGCGGAAGAUACGCUGGAUUGAGUACCGUGCGCGCAAGAAGCAAGAGGAACAAGAGAAAGCGGCUGAAGCCAAAAAGAAGGGCCGCAGGUCAAAAGGUGUCGAGAACAGUGAGAAUGACUCGAGCAUUGUAAAUAACAACAACAACAACCAAAGUGUGAGCAACAUGAAAGUCGAGGUAGUGUCUCCACCACUGAGUGUGGUAGGGAGAAGUAAUGUCUUAGAAAGUAUGAAACAGCAGUUCUUACAAGGUACAGAAAAUGUUGGUGAACCCAUUGCUAAUGGCAAAACUGACAAUCAAACUGAAACUGCAGAAGCAAAUCAGAAAAGAAAAUCUGGCCGGACUAGGAAAUCUGUUAAUGCACAAAAGGGUUCAAGUCCAAAGGGAAACACCCCAAAGAAUACAACACCAAAAGGCUCAACGCUAAAGGAGUCAAAUGGUAAGGGUGUAAAUCGUAGAAGUGCCACACCGAAAGGGGUUGCAUCGAAGGGGGGACAAAAGGGAACUGCAAAUACUCCAGACAGUUCUGCGACAAAUAGUCCAGUUCUUGUUAAUACACCAGCCACAACUAGUCCACCAGUAACACCUAACACUCCUGAUCAACCAUUGUCUGCCACUUUAAAAAAGCCAUUCUUCCCAGUAAGGUCUCUCACAAAAGGCCUACGGGAAGUAAGGAAAACGGAGAAUGGCGAUAGUCCAAAGAAAGCUGAUGACCGAACACCAAUUCCUGCUUCAUCCCCCAUCACACCUGUGUCAAUUCCCACAUCUACACCUGUUUUAUCGCAACCAAAGACAGAACCAGGAACCAAGUGUCCUCUCAUAGCAGUAGCUGCUCGAUUGCUCUCCCCUCCGACUGCUAGAUCAAAAUCCUUAGACAAUGCAAGAAGCAGGAAAGCAAACACAAGAGGGGGAAACAAAAAGCCUGGUGGCAAAGUUGCAGAGAGGUCCGAGUCUGAGCCACGAAGUAUUAUGAAUGGACAUACUCUUGUGCAGAAUGGGCCGUCUGAAGAGGAGGAAUCCAUAUCACUUAAUAUUUCCUCAUCAGAUGUUGAAGAAAAAUGUAUAGAAUUUGUAGAAGAAAAAGCAGAAGCAAACAUAGAACUCGAGUCAUGUGAAAACACAGAAGUGACAGCUGAUGAAAAAGUAACUGAAGAGAACUUUGAAGUAUCAGUAAAGGAGGAAGAAGUUGAACCUAAGCCUGCAGAUAGCACAGGAGAUGGUGAGUUACCAGAUGCCGAUAAUACAUUUGAGGCAGAUACUCCAAAUAGGAGAGGUAGAGGGCGACCACCCAAAAGAAAAUAUGGGUCUGUUAAAAAUGUGGAAGGAGGUAGUUCAGCAGGGAAGUCAAAUAAAAAAUUAUCAACUGUGGUUGUAGAUGUCCAUAAUAGCAUGAAUGGUGAGCCACAAACUGUUGUUUCUGCGUCCAAACCUGCCCUACGUGGAAAGAAGACUUCACCUGCAAAGAAAUUGAAAAAGGCAAUAGUUCUUCCAGGGGGCACUGAUGUUGAAGAUACCAAAGAUUCAUCCCCAACAAAUAAACACCAGGCAAGAUUAUCAGAUGUAAGUACUGAGGACAGUAAUGAAGUGAAAGAUCUUGCUCCUGUUCCUGCUGUAGCUGAUGCCAAAAAGUCAAAAACCAACACAGGGAAGAAGCAGACAGGCUUGACGGAAGCAGCAGAAGAAAGAGAAAAUGAUGAUAACACAAGUGCCUCUAUGAGCAAUCAAACACCACAAUUGCAUGAAAACGUUCAAAGUACAAAGUUGGUGAAAGGUGUUCAAAAAGUCAUAAAUCAAGAAGUGCCCUCAGAAACUGAAUCUGUGACUCCUACUGCUUCUAAUAAUGAUUCAAAAUCAGCAAGUAGUGUAAAAGAAAGUGGGGACAUUGUUGAAGUGGACACCAAAAAGGAGAAUGUCUCAGAGGAUAUAGGUAAUGAGCUGGUGGAGCAGGAGGGGCUAGGUGUCUCAGAAUCAGAAAAUGUGACUGAGCAGGAAAUUUGCAAAGACAAGAGUGAACUUCCAGUUGAGAAAGGUAAGAAGGUUUUGAAGGCACAAGUGAAAAAGGGAAGUUCAGUCCCUAAAACUAUUGUACAAGAGUCAGAAGUGAAUGUUAGUAUUGAAAGGGAAAACAACAUGGAUGAUAAAUCUCCAUUGCCAGUAGGGAAGAGUAAAAAGGCAUUAAAAACACAGGCAAAGAAGGGCAACACAGGGUCAAAGGUUACAGUGACACCAAAAGCAAAUGAAAAAGGAAGUCCUGCAAAGAAGAAAAGCACAGGUCCAUCAAAGAAAGCAAAGUCUCCCAAAGACACUCAGACAUCACUUGUAAAGUCUUCUGAGCAGAAUGCAUCCAAGAAACAGAAGCCUCAGGAGGAAGUUGAAACACUAAAUCUAGAGCCAAAAGAAUCACCUGUUGAAACUAGUAAAUUGGAAGAUGAAGUUGAAAUGAAAAAGCAAGAGCUAGCUGAGGAGGAUGUCAAAGAAUCCAAUGAAGUAGUAGAAGAAAACCAUGUGCAAGAUGUAAUAGAAGAGAAGUCUCCUGACUUACAAGUAGUGGCAGAAUCACAGGUAGAGAAAGUGGCAGAACAAGAUGUUCAAGUAGUUGAAGAAGACAGAAACAAUGAGACCAUAGAAGAGGUUAAGCUUUUAGAGGAAGAACCAAUUACAGAAACUCAAAAGGAGGAUCAUGUAAGCCCACAGGAAGAUCUUGAAAUAAAGAGGGAGAAUUUGCUGAAGGAGAAUAACAAUUUGCCAAAAAAGCAACCAGAAUCUGAAGUACAAAUUAUAUCAGAUGUCCAGGAGAAUUUAACUGUUGUGAAGGAGACAGAUGACAAAGAAGAGAAAGAUGCCAGCAAAGAUGCAACUGUUCCAGAAAAUCCUGAGGUGGUGGUGGUUGAUCAAGAAGAAAACAUAUCUACUGAACAAGCCCAAGAGUGUAGUAUUAUACCAAAGCAAAAUGGAAGUAUUACAUCACAAGAUGUAGUAGUAAGUCCUUCAACUACCUCGAUAUCGCCAGAAACUAGUGCCUCAAAUGCAAAGUCAAAGGAGAAAGUACCCAGGAUAUUGAAACAGCUUCUUCAAGAUGAAGGAGUCCAAAAUAUGCUUAAGAGUAUGGGCGAAGAAUCAAUUACAGCACCAGAAGGGUCACCAAGUGAGUCCAGUGUGCAUAAGCUUCGUCCAAAAAGGCCAUCAGAACCUAUGCUGUCUUCCUCACCAGAAUUAGAUGUUUUAGAGGCCUUCUUUUCUCCUACGACAAAGAAAAAGAAGCAAAGAAGUGAGCUGGACACUUUGUACAUGGAUGAAGGAGUGCUUAACCUGCUAACAAGUCUAGAACCUUAUUCCCGAAGACAGCCUCAUCAAGAUGAUGCUGCCAGUGAUAUUUCCCAAGCCAGUAGCGCCAAGAGUGUUAAAGCGAACAAAACCUCUAAAACUGCCUUAGAUGUGCAGGCUGAGGGAAGGAAGAGAAAACUCAGUGGAGCCAGCACCGUAAGCAAUACCUCAACUAGAUCUAUGCAACCUCCAGAGUCUAAGAAACCACGUUUAGAUAACCAAGAAUCCCAUCUUGAAGACCCUUAUGAACUAGAUACAGCAGAAGAAUUCAAGGACCUGUCUGAGAAUCAGGAAACUGGCAAUGUAGAACCAGCUCCUGCUCAGCCGGCAAGGAAGAGGGGAAGGCCACAACUGCCACUUUCUGUAAAGCAAAAGAACAAAGCAAUAAGAAUGCAACUGAAACUCCAAAAGCAGAAACAACUUAGGGUAAACUCUGUUGUCAGUGCUCUACUUAGGGAAGAUGAUAAUAUGAACUUGGCACAGAUUAAGGAUGUACUGAAGAGGGCAAGAGAAGCUUUCAAUCAUCCAUAUGAAGAAAUAGUGACUGGAGAAGUACCCACCGACAAGGCAGUUCCACCAUUAAAAAUUAAGUUAGCUUCUGAAAGUGUAACCAUUAGGCAUAUAGCUCGACCAGGAUCAGCCCAGGGUCAGCAGACAGCAGCAGCAGCAGCACCAUUGGGAGAUGCAGUGGAUAUACAGGGAAUUAAACCAACACCUAAACCAAUGGCAGUUGAUGCAUCUUGUAGUAGACCCUUAGCUAAAACUGUGACAGAGACUAGGAUAUCACCAAAGACUUAUACAGAGAAGACAAGGACUUAUCCAGAGCGAAGGACGCCUCCACCACAACAAAGAAGAAUAGAGAACAUCACCAGUCCUACAGCAGCAAGCUUCUCAUCGCUAGUGAAAACUUUAGAGGCCACGGGACAACAGAAGAGUAGACAAAGGGCAGGAGGAGAGUCCCUGCGUCAGUCUCAACGGGCCAGCGUGAGGCAGAGUGAAGGCAGCUACCACUACAGAGACAUAUCCCUGAGAAAGUUCAACAAUUUCACCCAGAUCAUCUUGUCUCCCUCCACGACAAAGAUGAAGAACGCCUUGAAUUCCCGGGUCUUGCGAGAGCUAUGCGAGGCCCUGAACAUUCUGAAGAGAGACGACUCUGUGAGAAUGGUGCUGCUAACUGCCACGGGCUCCACCUUCUGCCAGGGCAUUGAUUUGACAGCUCUCCAGCAUCCCAACUUAGAGACCCGCAAGAAGAAUGCCGAAAAUCUUGUGAGAGGCAUAAAUCGACACAGCUAUUCCUUGGGCAUAAGGUGACAGCGGCCAAGGCACAGGAGAUGGGUCUGGCCUCUGAGUCCAUCUGGCCUGCAACCUACCAGCAGGAGCUAAUACCCAAGGUGGCUCUCCUGGCAUCACAGUCUGCUCAGAGUAUGGAGGCGACCAAGGCCUUGAUGAACCACCACCUCGUGACGAAGUUGGAGCUGAGCCUCGAGUCCGAGUGCCGGCUGCUCCUCCAGCAGUGGACGUCCCCUCACUUCGCUCACCUGUGCAAGAGGUUCCUCGAGUCCCACCACGUUCAGCUGCAGAAGCCCGUCAACCUUCCUCUGUAGUGGCUGCCGUGCGAUGGAAAACCUUCCAGGAAGUUUCUCGUGAGGAGAAAACUCUUUUUGUGUGUGUGAAGAGGACUGGCUGUGGUCCAGAAGUUUAUUUUUUAUUUUAUUUACUGUUUAUUUUUUCUCGUUUUACUUUUGGAUGGUGAUAGUGAUACUUUUGGAACUUGAAUGCUACGCCGACGCUGCUCUUUGCGCGCAGGCAAGUGUUGAACUCUUUAAAAAGUUAUCGCCGAUCGACUUUUCUUCAAAUGUGUGUGUCUUUGGAUCGUGAGUCAAUCAGUCGCCCGUCGCGCCCUGGAUCGCUAGGAAGAAAGAAAGAGUGGAAGGGACAGUUUGAUUUGCACUCACUUUGUCUCUCCUUGUCAGAGUGAAUAUUGAAAAGUUCCGAUUAUAUAUAUUUAGAGAUGAAUUCUUUUUGUUUUACUGCAGCACCAGGAGAUACUAUGGACAAGAAAGGAUUGAAGACAGACGCACCAAGAGCGAGUGUGACGAACAAAACAAAAAAAAGUUGCAAGAUAAAACGAGGAAAGAAAGAAAAGAAGCAACACGCAGCUACUUGUGAGAGAGUCUGAACUUCAAACAAGUUUUUUGGACUGGGAAUGCGAGGGCGAAAUGCUCUCCACGGUGUAUCCUGGUGAAAGACAGCAAAAGGAAAGUGAACGUGUAAAAGUUUGUGAACGAAUUAAAGUAAACAUGAUUAAGGAAAAAAAAAUUGAAGGAAAAAAUAACGUGAUAAUAGACUAAUUUUUUGUGACGUCGCUGUUCAAAUGCAGUGGUUUGAGGCCUUUUUGGAACCCCCCUUUACCCCCCUCGGUGGCAGAAUCCCCCCCAGUCCACCUCGAGGAUUUUGUACAGUGUACAGUUAACCACUUGGUCGUCCUCAGCUGAAGUGGAUAUAUUUAAUAAGAUAUUUCUAUAGUGCCCAGCAACUAUACUAGGUUCAGUAUGAAAAGUCUCUUUUUUCCAUGUAAGGUGUUUUAGUGUAUCGGAAUGUCAUUUAUGCAAAUUUCUUAAAAGAAAAUAUAUUUAAAAAAAUACUUUAAAAACCAACAUUCUCAUGCACUUGACACUCGUGUAAAUAAUAGGACCCAAUUGUGCACAAGUUAUAUUUUCAUGGGAAGUUAUUUUAUCGGGAUGUGUUUUUGUACAUCUUUCAAAUGAAGUUACAAGUGUGUGAUUUUGUAGUUGAUUUUUAUAGGAUAAAAGUUGUUAAACAAGUACAACCUAUACAACUAUGACAGUCCUUCAAAUUUUUGUCAUUGAAUGUGAAAUCUCAUGCAAUGAAAGUUAUUGAAUUUGAUCAAAUGAUUUAUUUUAAUACCAUACCAUAAAUGUUCACGAAAUAUUUACUUGUAAGAAUAUGACUUGAUGAUAUGUAAGGGAAGUGACUUGCAUCAGUAUAAAACUUUUGCGUUUCUUAAUUUAUGUAAAUAUUUUAGUUUCCCCUUUUCUUAUUAAUUCAGCCCACCCCCCUUCCCCCCAUCACCCCCUACCCUCUUCCCUCACCGUAUGAAGAACUUGUUUUAAAUGAAUUAGAAAGAAGGAAAAAAAAAAGAAACUGCUAUUUAUCCUCCCAUAUGUAUGUUUGUGUUUCCAGUCUCCUUCCUAUAUUAUUAUUUUUUUCUCUUGUAUUUAGCCUAGUCAGAUACCCAAAAUAUCCUUUACUCCAGCUAUGUAUUCAUUACAGGA
rnacentral:misc_RNA from 1 species